AAAGUUUCAAAGGGCACAGUCUGCCGGUGCCCCCAAGAGUACCGUUCACUUUGCGGACGAGGUAACCAUUCAAGUUCCUUCUUCCGGCUCUGCUCUCGCUUCUCCACCUUCAAGCACUAGAACCCCCAAUACCAGUGAGUUGUGGUCGGUUUUUUCUCCACAUCCGGAAGUCGAGCAGCAGCCUUCCACUCCCAAGCCUUCAGCUCCAGUGAAAUGGAGUUAUUUAAGACGACGAGGGCAGCAGUCUUCCACUCCCGAGCCUUCAGCUAAUUCCCAAUCACCAGAGCAGCGUCUCAAUCUGAUAGCUUUCAGGCUCGCAGUUCUUGAAAAGUUCGCCACUGGCCUCGGGAAAUUGGCCUUCGUCUGGGCAACUGUUGUUCUCCUCGGUGGAUUCGUGAGCAACAUUCCGGCCAAAGACUUUUGGACGAUAUCGGCCUUGCUGCUGACUGAAGGAACGCGGGUUUUCAGUCGAAGUAGCGAGUUGGAAUGGCAGCAGGCAAAUUACAGCUUGGGAACUCUCGGCUUCAGCUCGUUCGUGUUCGACAAGAGCGCCAGAUUAAGGCAGACGUUCUCUGCAGCCUUCGACCAUGACCACCCUGAACAGAACGUUAGCAGAGAUCGACUUUCCAAAAAUCCAGUAAAGAAAGAUUUAUACCAGGGAUUCGGUGCCCGAAGAACUUGGUCCGUGGGAAGCGUCCCGUUCCUGCCGUAUGUAAAGUCCCUCCCCACCAGGAUCAUCAGCCUUUUCAUGUACUUCCUCCAGCUUGCUUCUGCAACAGUCACCGUAUGUUUCUCAGUAUAUCGACUUGCCGAGCACGGCUUCAAUGCCCAAGGAAAAAACACUGAGCAAGCACUUACGGUGUUUUACGCGAUGAUGCUGGCAGAAACGUCGCUAUUCCUCCUGGAGAGAGCAUAUUGGGAAUUCAAGCUUCAUUACCAGAGGUUGCUGGAAGUAGCACUCUAACGUGUGAGCUUGAUCAAGUCGACAUUGAAACCAUGAAGCAGUACUGGUACACAUUGUACUCACGAUCGCUGAACGGAAGCGUGUUUGAUGGCCUGGGAAUGGACCUUAUCGAUUUCACCGUCGAGAAGCUGCAGUCAAGCAUAAGGGAAGAGCAGCUCGGUAGCGUCAACAUACUGUCAGCUCUUGUCUCAAAAGGAGAUUCAAUAAAAGAAACGCGACGGAGGAUGGAGUUGUGGAGAGACUCUUAGAGAUGAUCACCUGGAAGGAUCGUAGUGAGGCCGAAAUCAGGAAAGCUGCAACGAUAGUAAUCAGGCACCUGGUUCAUCACCGCCGUAACUGCUUCAGGAUUUCCGCUAUCCCUGGAUCCCUGGAGGCCCUCACUGCUCUUUUAGCCGCAAGAAAAGAAGAGGAAGUGCUAGAAGAAAAGAGCUACAGACUCACUAUCCUCAACGGGCUAGCCGUGGACCACAGGAUAUCCGUGCGAAUCGGUAACACCAGCGGACUUAUCUCCAUCCUGGUUGAAUUUAUCCAAGACGAACGAAGGAAAGAAGUAUGCCGUCAAUCACUCAAGCUUUUGAAGAAAUUGGCUCGCGUGGGAGGAGAUUCUGGACGGUCACUGCGAAAGAAGAUGGUGUCGGUAGUGCCAGCAGUAAGAAGUCUUCAAAGGAUGUGCAAUCUCAAAGAUUUGGAGC
rnacentral:lncRNA from 1 species